rnacentral:rRNA from 1 species
GUGGGGAAUAUUGGACAAUGGGCGAAAGCCUGAUCCAGCCAUGCCGCGUGCAGGAUGAAGGCCUUCGGGUUGUAAACUGCUUUUGUACGGAACGAAAAGACUCCUUCUAAUAAAGGGGGUCCAUGACGGUACCGUAAGAAUAAGCACCGGCUAACUACGUGCCAGCAGCCGCGGUAAUACGUAGGGUGCAAGCGUUAAUCGGAAUUACUGGGCGUAAAGCGUGCGCAGGCGGUUAUAUAAGACAGAUGUGAAAUCCCCGGGCUCAACCUGGGAACUGCAUUUGUGACUGUAUAGCUAGAGUACGGUAGAGGGGGAUGGAAUUCCGCGUGUAGCAGUGAAAUGCGUAGAUAUGCGGAGGAACACCGAUGGCGAAGGCAAUCCCCUGGACCUGUACUGACGCUCAUGCACGAAAGCGUGGGGAGCAAACAGGAUUAGAUACCCGGGUAGUCC